AGCAUGGGGAAGCAUCUUUUUCACUCUGUAUUUCAGCAAAGGAAAAUCUGGGAGGGAAUAUUUUCGGUGAAGUUUGCUAAGAAUCUGUAAAGUUUGCUAAGAAUAUUUUCGGUGAAGUAACAAACUUUCAUUCACGUAUUUUUCUGCACUGUUACAGUUGUGCACUUUAUAUUUAGAAAAUUCACUUAAGGUAGUUACUAGUUUCACUUAAAGUAUAGGUCUUAAUUGAUCCUUUUAUUCAUAUAUUUUUUUUUCUGAGCACAAGGUUCUUAGAGUUUGAAUUAGUAAAAUAAUUAUCAUUUCUGCAACUCUUAGUUAUUGCUGCUCAUACAACUUUCUAAUUUAAAUAUACAUGUUUAAUUACAUCUCUUGUUUAACUCUCAUCUACAGGUAACGGAUAACCGUUUGUUUGUUGAGCAUGAAAAAUAUUGUUCAUUCCCAUUUCGCUUGUUGGAAUUUUCCUCCAAGUUUAGUUUACUUUUUUUUCCUUAUCUGCAGGUCAGCUGAAAGAAGCUUUCUAGAUAAAAUGGUGAAACUGUUUAUCUUUAAAGAUAUCCGUAAUUUCCUUAAUUGCAGGUAAUUGUUCCCUGUCAUGUUUCUUGAAGCUGUCUCAAAGGUGAGCCACCUGAUCCACUAAUAUCUUCACAAAUUAAAGCUUUGCAUUCUAUUUUUUUCUUCUGUAUUGUAUUGUAGCAGAUUUGAGAUGUGUUAUUAACGUGGCCCUAUGAUUUCUGUUAAAUGCUUGGCUUUUUGUUAUAUCUAUCAGGUAGUGGAUGAAGAUAUUGGAGAUGAUGAAACCAAGUUUUUGUGCCUCUACUGUCAUCCAAGAUCACAUAGUAUAUCAACUUGUAAUUAGGAUUUAUUUAGUUAGUUUUAAUUGUAGUUUAGUUAACAGAUCAGUAAAUGUCCUCUUUUCUUUUCAAGGACACUUUUUGUUCAUACUGGGACUUUUUUUUUUGUGUUCUGUAAUAGAUACAAUGACGUUUUUUUUUAGAUUUCAGGACCUUUUUUCA